GCUGCACUUCCACCUGCUGCAGAGGAGCCACUGCCCUGCUACUUCUACUCGGAGGAAAGAGGGAAAGGCUUGGAUGCUCUCCCGCUCAGGAACUAUCCAAACAAGACACGAAGAGCAGUGCAGAGAGAGAGGAGAGAAGUAGAUAAUCUAUCUAGAUCGCAGACUGCUGAAUUCCCAUGAUACCAUCAAAGAAUCAGAUACAUGGAAGACUGAAACGGUGUAUGCAGAGAACCACAUCCAAGCGGGGAGAAAAUCAUCUCUAAUUGGCCAGUGCAGGCCUGAACACGGCCCAACUCGCGGGCAUAAUUUCUAAAGUGGUCAACUGGAAUUCACAAGGAGCACAUGGAUAUUGUAGAAGUUAAACAAGCAGGAGGAAAAAGCUGUAUGAGGAGACAAUUGUCAGCCUGGCUUCACUGAAGGGCUGUUUUAACAGUACAAGCUUGCCCAGAGUUUUCCUAAGCCAUCUGGAGUGUGAUGCAGCACAUGUUUCCUUGGCAAUGAAGUGGAGCCUGAUGUUAGUGCAGCUUUCUGCAAUGCAUUUUGAGUAUGAAGAUGUGAUUGUUGUAUGGUUCUAGGUUGAACAUGUGUGUCUCAAGUUCCUUGAAUGCAGAACCACCAUGGAGUUCCAGAACCUUUGUGGAGACCCUGGAGAUUGGCCUUGUGAGUGUGUGCUGUUGAAUAAAUCUCUCAGCUGUCUUGCAGACUUUCAGGACGCUGUCUGACAGUCUGAUAAGUCCACCUCGGGACUUCAUGUCGAGCAGUGUGUGUCCAAGUUCAUCUUGGGAAGAGCUGUCGACACUGAGUGCUGAUAAGGUUGAAUGUCAUUUUGCCAGAAUGCCAGCAUAUCAGAAUAUAUUGCCUCCAGUACCACUGUGCUAACCAGUGGAGAACAGUUGCCACUAGCUCCGAUGGCAUGUCUAGCUACCAUUCUUUUGAAAGCUGACAUAAAUUGCCUUGCUGUGGCAUUGUUGUUAAAUCCAUUAGCAGAUUUGUCCCCACAUAUCUUCGAAUUGUUAUUGUAUUGUUCAGUUUAAUAGUCCAUUUUUGUGUGUACUU